UACGUAGGUGGCAAGCGUUGUCCGGAAUUAUUGGGCGUAAAGCGCGCGCAGGCGGUCCUUUAAGUCUGAUGUGAAAGCCCACGGCUCAACCGUGGAGGGUCAUUGGAAACUGGGGGACUUGAGUACAGAAGAGAAGAGUGGAAUUCCACGUGUAGCGGUGAAAUGCGUAGAGAUGUGGAGGAACACCAGUGGCGAAGGCGACUUUCUGGGCUGUAACUGACGCUGAGGCGCGAAAGCGUGGGGAGCAAACAGG
rnacentral:rRNA from 1 species